rnacentral:lncRNA from 1 species
UCCCAUUUACAAAUAUCUCAUUUUUUACAUUUUCUCUCUUCAAACUCCUUAUACAUAUCACAACUCCCCUUUUAUUACUCCUAAUUCUCCAAAAUUUAUGCCUAAAAUAAAGCAACCAUAAUCUCACUAUUCAAGGUUUGAAUUUACAAUUUUCGUCUUCAAUAUUGCAACAAGUCAAAAUAACAUAGUUUUCCAAUUCCUUUGUCGGCGAAUCACAUCGUUGAUGCCCCUUCAAUCCAUUUUUGUUAGCAAACCACGCUGGUGGUGAUGGAGUUCUUCGAUGUUAUCCAUUUCUAAAGGAUCAAUAUGACCUUGACAAACCACGCUGGUGGGGUGCGCUGUUCGACGUUCUUCAAGUUGGAACAUUGUUAUACAUAACUAUGAUCUGUAUAGGGGUAAAGUCACAAAAUCUUCAAGUAAGAAAAGAAUUAAAGGAUCAACACAACCUUGAAUUCCAAAGAUUUUGUGAUGUGCUUUUGAGUCUGUAUUUUUUUUCGAUUUAUUGUUCUCUUAUACAUUGUUAUACAUAGCUAUGUUAUGUACAGGGGUAAAGUCUUUUUUUUUUAUGAGAUCUAGUCUUAUUUUUUCUCCAUAUACAUUAUUUCGCAAUGUAUAUGAUUGACCCAUUCUGUUAUUUAUGCAUGCAAGGGUUAUGUUUAAGGGUUGUCAGUGGCAUGUAAUGUAUAUGGCUUGAAGUAUUCGUAUCCUAUACAUGUAAGACUUAUGUAUAAGAGAUUUUCUGUGUUAUGCAAUUUAUAUGAUUUGACCUAAUGUUAUAUAUUUUAUGUAUAGUUUUAUGUUUCUUCUGC